rnacentral:rRNA from 1 species
GGAAUUUUGCACAAUGGGGGAAACCCUGACGCAGCGACGCCGCGUGGGCGAUGAAGGCCUUCGGGUCGUAAAGCCCUGUCAGGAGGGACGAACCGUGCGAGUGUUAACACCACUCGUACCUGACGGUACCUCUGGAGGAAGCCCCGGCCAACUCCGUGCCCGCAGCCGCGGUAACACGGAGGGGGCAAGCGUUAUUCGGAAUUAUUGGGCGUAAAGGGCGUGUAGGCGGCUUCGUGUGUCCCUUGUGAAAGCCCUCGGCUCAACCGAGGAAUUGCAGGGGAAACUGCGGAGCUCGAGUCCGGGAGAGGAGAGUGGAAUUCCCAGUGUAGCGGUGAAAUGCGUAGAUAUUGGGAGGAACACCUGUGGCGAAGGCGGCUCUCUGGACCGGUACUGACGCUGAGACGCGAAAGCCAGGGGAGCAAAC